rnacentral:rRNA from 1 species
GACGAACGCUGGCGGCGUGCUUAACACAUGCAAGUCGAACGGAAAGGCCUUUUCCGUGGUACUCGAGUGUCGAACGGGUGCGUAACACUUGGGUGAUCUUCCCUGCCCUCUGGGAUAAGCCUGGGAAACUGGGUCUAAUACCGGUUAGGACUGCACUUUUGUGUGUGUGGUGGCAAGUUUUUUCGGUGUAGGAUGAGCCCGCGGCCUAUCAGCUUGUUGGUGGGGUAAUGGCCUACCAAGGCGGCGACGGGUAGCCGGACUGAGGGGUUGGUCGACGACAUUGGGACUGAGGUGCGGCCCAAAUUCCUAAGGGAGGCAGAAGUGGGGAAGAUUGAACAAGGGGCGCAGGCCUGAUGAAGAGGGGCCGCGUGGGGGAAGACGGCCUUAGGAGUGUAAAAUACAUUCGCCAGGGACGAAGCGUUUUGUGACGGUACCUGGAGAAGAAGCACCGGCUAACUACGUG